UACGUAGGGUCCGAGCGUUGUCCGGAAUUACUGGGCGUAAAGGGUGCGUAGGCGGUGCUCUAAGUCGGAUGUGAAAACUCUGGGCUCAACCCAGAGCCUGCAUCCGAAACUGGAGUGCUAGAGUUCUGGAGGGGGUAGCGGAAUUCCUGGUGUAGCGGUGAAAUGCGUAGAUAUCAGGAGGAACACCGGUGGCGAAGGCGGCUACCUGGACAGAAACUGACGCUGAGGCACGAAAGCUAGGGGAGCAAACAGG
rnacentral:rRNA from 1 species